AUUCUGCCCAUGCGGGGAAGGAUGAGAAGCUUCGACCAAGGUUCGACUCGAGCGCCAGCGAGAGAGCGUGGCCGCAGGCAACGACCCGAA
rnacentral:sRNA from 1 species